rnacentral:rRNA from 1 species
UGGGGAAUUUUGGACAAUGGGCGAAAGCCUGAUCCAGCAAUGCCGCGUGUGUGAAGAAGGCCUUCGGGUUGUAAAGCACUUUUGUCAGGAACGAAACGGUGAGGGCUAAUAUCCCUUGCUAAUGACGGUACCUGAAGAAUAAGCACCGGCUAACUACGUGCCAGCAGCCGCGGUAAUACGUAGGGUGCAAGCGUUAAUCGGAAUUACUGGGCGUAAAGCGUGCGCAGGCGGUUGUGCAAGACAGAUGUGAAAUCCCCGGCUGCAACCUGGGAAGUGGCAUGGGGAAACUGGCGGGGCAUGGAGGUGUGGCAGAGGGGGUGGAAUUCCGCGGUGUA